rnacentral:rRNA from 1 species
UACGUAGGGUGCGAGCGUUAAUCGGAAUUACUGGGCGUAAAGCGUGCGCAGGCGGUUUUGUAAGCCAGAUGUGAAAUCCCCGGGCUCAACCUGGGAAUGGCAUUUGGGACUGCAAGGCUGGAGUACGGCAGAGGAGACUGGAAUUCCUGGUGUAGCAGUGAAAUGCGUAGAGACCCGGAGGAACACCAGUGGCGAAGGCGGCUUCCUGGUCUGCGACUGACGCUGUGGCGCGAAAGCUAGGGGAGCAAACGGG